UUAAGCGACUAAGCGUACACGGUGGAUGCCCUGGCAGUCAGAGGCGAUGAAGGACGUGCUAAUCUGCGAAAAGCGUCGGUAAGGUGAUAUGAACCGUUAUAACCGGCGAUGUCCGAAUGGGGAAACCCAGUGUGAUUCGUCACACUAUCGUUAACUGAAUACAUAGGUUAACGAGGCGAACCGGGGGAACUGAAACAUCUAAGUACCCCGAGGAAAAGAAAUCAACCGAGAUUCCCCCAGUAGCGGCGAGCGAACGGGGAGCAGCCCAGAGUCUGAAUCAGCUUGUGUGUUAGUGGAACGGUCUGGAAAGUCCGACGGUACAGGGUGAUAGUCCCGUACACCAAAAUGCACAGGUUGUGAACUCGAAGAGUAGGGCGGGACACGUGGUAUCCUGUCUGAAUAUGGGGGGACCAUCCUCCAAGGCUAAAUACUCCUGACUGACCGAUAGUGAACCAGUACCGUGAGGGAAAGGCGAAAAGAACCCCGGCGAGGGGAGUGAAAAAGAACCUGAAACCGUGUACGUACAAGCAGUGGGAGCACCUUCGGGUGUGACUGCGUACCUUUUGUAUAAUGGGUCAGCGACUUAUAUUCUGUAGCAAGGUUAACCGUAUAGGGGAGCCGCAGGGAAACCGAGUCUUAACUGGGCGUUAAGUUGCAGGGUAUAGACCCGAAACCCGGUGAUCUAGCCAUGGGCAGGUUGAAGGUUGGGUAACACUAACUGGAGGACCGAACCGACUAAUGUUGAAAAAUUAGCGGAUGACUUGUGGCUGGGGGUGAAAGGCCAAUCAAACCGGGAGAUAGCUGGUUCUCCCCGAAAGCUAUUUAGGUAGCGCCUCGUGAAUUCAUCUUCGGGGGUAGAGCACUGUUUCGGCUAGGGGGUCAUCCCGACUUACCAACCCGAUGCAAACUACGAAUACCGAAGAAUGUUAUCACGGGAGACACACGGCGGGUGCUAACGUCCGUCGUGAAGAGGGAAACAACCCAGACCGCCAGCUAAGGUCCCAAAGUCAUGGUUAAGUGGGAAACGAUGUGGGAAGGCACAGACAGCCAGGAUGUUGGCUUAGAAGCAGCCAUCAUUUAAAGAAAGCGUAAUAGCUCACUGGUCGAGUCGGCCUGCGCGGAAGAUGUAACGGGGCUAAACCAUGCACCGAAGCUGCGGCAGCGACACUAUGUGUUGUUGGGUAGGGGAGCGUUCUGUAAGCCUGCGAAGGUGACCUGUGAGGGUUGCUGGAGGUAUCAGAAGUGCGAAUGCUGACAUAAGUAACGAUAAAGCGGGUGAAAAGCCCGCUCGCCGGAAGACCAAGGGUUCCUGUCCAACGUUAAUCGGGGCAGGGUGAGUCGACCCCUAAGGCGAGGCCGAAAGGCGUAGUCGAUGGGAAACAGGUUAAUAUUCCUGUACUUGGUGUUACUGCGAAGGGGGGACGGAGAAGGCUAUGUUAGCCGGGCGACGGUUGUCCCGGUUUAAGCAUGUAGGCUGAUUGUCCAGGCAAAUCCGGAUAAUCAAGGCUGAGGUGUGAUGACGAGGCACUACGGUGCUGAAGUAACAAAUGCCCUGCUUCCAGGAAAAGCCUCUAAGCAUCAGGUAACAUCAAAUCGUACCCCAAACCGACACAGGUGGUCAGGUAGAGAAUACCAAGGCGCUUGAGAGAACUCGGGUGAAGGAACUAGGCAAAAUGGUGCCGUAACUUCGGGAGAAGGCACGCUGGUGUGUAGGUGAAGCCCCUGCGGGUGGAGCUGAGACCAGUCGAAGAUACCAGCUGGCUGCAACUGUUUAUUAAAAACACAGCACUGUGCAAACACGAAAGUGGACGUAUACGGUGUGACGCCUGCCCGGUGCCGGAAGGUUAAUUGAUGGGGUUAUCCGUAAGGAGAAGCUCUUGAUCGAAGCCCCGGUAAACGGCGGCCGUAACUAUAACGGUCCUAAGGUAGCGAAAUUCCUUGUCGGGUAAGUUCCGACCUGCACGAAUGGCGUAAUGAUGGCCAGGCUGUCUCCACCCGAGACUCAGUGAAAUUGAACUCGCUGUGAAGAUGCAGUGUACCCGCGGCAAGACGGAAAGACCCCGUGAACCUUUACUAUAGCUUGACACUGAACAUUGAGCCUUGAUGUGUAGGAUAGGUGGGAGGCUUUGAAGCGUGGACGCCAGUCUGCGUGGAGCCAACCUUGAAAUACCACCCUUUAAUGUUUGAUGUUCUAACGUUGGCCCCUGACCGGGGUUGCGGACAGUGUCUGGUGGGUAGUUUGACUGGGGCGGUCUCCUCCCAAAGCGUAACGGAGGAGCACGAAGGUUAGCUAAUCCUGGUCGGACAUCAGGAGGUUAGUGCAAUGGCAUAAGCUAGCUUGACUGCGAGCGUGACGGCGCGAGCAGGUGCGAAAGCAGGUCAUAGUGAUCCGGUGGUUCUGAAUGGAAGGGCCAUCGCUCAACGGAUAAAAGGUACUCCGGGGAUAACAGGCUGAUACCGCCCAAGAGUUCAUAUCGACGGCGGUGUUUGGCACCUCGAUGUCGGCUCAUCACAUCCUGGGGCUGAAGUAGGUCCCAAGGGUAUGGCUGUUCGCCAUUUAAAGUGGUACGCGAGCUGGGUUUAGAACGUCGUGAGACAGUUCGGUCCCUAUCUGCCGUGGGCGCUGGAGAAUUGAGGGGGGCUGCUCCUAGUACGAGAGGACCGGAGUGGACGCAUCACUGGUGUUCGGGUUGUCAUGCCAAUGGCACUGCCCGGUAGCUAAAUGCGGAAGAGAUAAGUGCUGAAAGCAUCUAAGCACGAAACUUGCCCCGAGAUGAGUUCUCCCUGAGACUUUAAGUCUCCUGAAGGAACGUUGAAGACGACGACGUUGAUAGGCCGGGUGUGUAAGCGCAGCGAUGCGUUGAGCUAACCGGUACUAAUGAACCGUGAGGCUUAACCUU
rnacentral:rRNA from 1 species